AUUAUACCGCGAAACUGCGAAUGGCUCAUUAUAUAAGUUAUCGUUUAUUUGAUAAUACUUUACUACUUGGAUAACCGUGGUAAUUCUAGAGCUAAUACAUGCUGAAAAUCCCGACUUCGGAAGGGAUGUAUUUAUUAGAUUAAAAACCAAUGCCCCUCGGGGCUCUCUGGUGAAUCAUGAUAACUAGUCGAAUCGACAGGCCUUGUGCCGGCGAUGGCUCAUUCAAAUUUCUUCCCUAUCAACUUUCGAUGUUUGGGUAUUGGCCAAACAUGGUGGCAACGGGUAACGGAGGGUUAGGGCUCGACCCCGGAGAAGGAGCCUGAGAAACGGCUACUACAUCCAAGGAAGGCAGCAGGCGCGCAAAUUACCCAAUCCCGACACGGGGAGGUAGUGACAAUAAAUACUGAUACAGGGCUCUUUUGGGUCUUGUAAUCGGAAUGAGUACAAUUUAAAUCCCUUAACGAGGAACAAUUGGAGGGCAAGUCUGGUGCCAGCAGCCGCGGUAAUUCCAGCUCCAAUAGCGUAUAUUAAAGUUGUUGUGGUUAAAAAGCUCGUAGUUGAACCUUGGGCCUGGCUGGCCGGUCCGCCUCACCGCGUGCACUGGUCCGGCCGGGCCUUUCCCUCUGCGGAACCCCAUGCCCUUCACUGGGUGUGGCGGGGAAACAGGACUUUUACUUUGAAAAAAUUAGAGUGCUCAAGGCAGGCCUAUGCUCGAAUACAUUAGCAUGGAAUAAUAGAAUAGGACGUGUGGUUCUAUUUUGUUGGUUUCUAGGACCGCCGUAAUGAUUAAUAGGGACAGUCGGGGGCAUCAGUAUUCAAUUGUCAGAGGUGAAAUUCUUGGAUUUAUUGAAGACUAACUACUGCGAAAGCAUUUGCCAAGGAUGUUUUCAUUAAUCAGGAACGAAAGUUAGGGGAUCGAAGACGAUCAGAUACCGUCGUAGUCUUAACCAUAAACUAUGCCGACUAGGGAUCGGACGAUGUUACAUUUUUGACGCGUUCGGCACCUUACGAGAAAUCAAAGUGC
rnacentral:rRNA from 1 species